GUGGGAGGGGGCUUGCCCCCGAUGGCAGUGUGUCAGCCAGUAUAUCUGUAGCUGACCCACCGCUAUCGGGGGCAAGCCCCCUCCCAC
rnacentral:misc_RNA from 1 species